AGCAUCGCUAGACUGGGUGGCCCAUCCUCACCUGUUACUGCAAAUGGAUGUUGGCAGGGUUGAAGCCUGAAGGGCGGCGUUACUUAAAUUAAUGGUCUUAAUUGGACCGUCGAUGCCUUGUCCUCUAAGAUCGUGAUUUUUAUGAAUCGAGUCAGAUCAGGAAUGAAGCAGCUCUAAGUAUUAAUCUCGGUGCCUAGAGGGUUGCAGGGCUGAGGAAAAAUUGAGGUAGCUGUUGAUUUAAGUUUGCGUCCACCUUCAGGUACGCACCU
rnacentral:SRP_RNA from 1 species